rnacentral:rRNA from 1 species
AUUGAACGCUGGCGGCGUGCCUAACACAUGCAAGUCGAGCGGCAGCGCGGGAGCAAUCCUGGCGGCGAGCGGCGGACGGGUGAGUAACGCUUGGGAAUCUGCCUGUUAGUGGGGGACGAACCCGGGGAAACGUCGGGCGUAAUACCGCAUACGCACUACGGUGGAAAGCCGGGGACCGCAAGGCCUGGCGCUAACAGAUGAGCCCAAGUCGGAUUAGCUAGUUGGUAGGGGUAACGGCCUACCAAGGCGACGAUCCGUAACUGGUCUGAGAGGACGACCAGUCACACCGGAACUGAGACACGGUCCGGACUCCUACGGGAGGCAGCAGUGGGGAA